GGGUGUUUAAUGAGGCUUCAAGCAAAGGGAUGUGGCCUUCAGGCCAAGAAGGCUGGAGACGGGGUGCAAACCCAUGAUUGACUCCUUUUCUCACCAAUCUUGCUGAUUAAAGCACUGAGAAAGAUUGAAAUCAUCGAGAGUGGACGUACCUGCGCCUCUUCUCCCGGAACCGUGCAUAGCAGUGUCGUUGUUGGAGGAUGCCCAGUUCACAUCCCAUGCACUCACCCACGAAGGAAGGCUCCUUUCCAGGCCAUCCAACUGGUUACAACCUAAAUCAAGUCACUGAAGAUGCUAAGGAAGGUGUGAUGG